rnacentral:rRNA from 1 species
GACGAACGCUGGCGGUGUGCUUAACACAUGCAAGUCGAACGGUAAGGCCCUUUCUGGGGUACAUGCGCGGCGAACGGGCGAGUAACAAGCGCGUAACUUACCCUCCUCUCUGGGAUAACUGUCGGAAACGGUCGCGAACAAAUGCCAUGUGCUUGCACGUCAUCCUGUGGGGUGGUAAGAUUUUUUUGGCUGGGGGUGGACUCGCGGCCUAUCAGCUUGUUGGUGGGGUAGUGGCUCACCAAGGCUUCGACGGGUAGUCGGCCUGAGAGGGCGACCGGCCACAUUGGGACUGGGAUACGGCCCAAGCUCCUACGGGAGGCAGCAGUGGGGAAUAUUGCACAAUGGACGGAAGUCUGAUGCAGCAACGCCGCGGGCGGGAUGACGGCCUUCGGGUUGGAAACCGCGUUCAAUUGUGACGAAGCUUUUUGUGACGGUAGCAGGAGAAGAAGCACCGGCUAACUACGUG